rnacentral:rRNA from 1 species
CCUGACUGCUAUCGGAUUGAUACUAAGCCAUGCGAGUCAUUGUAGUAAUACAAGGCAGACGGCUCAGUAACGCGUAGUCAACCUACCCUAUGGACGGGAAUAACCUCGGGAAACUGAGAAUAAUGCCCGAUAGAACAUUAUACCUGGAAUGGUUUAUGUUCCAAAUGAUUUAUCGCCGUAGGAUGGGACUGCGUCCUAUCAGUUUGUUGGUGAGGUAAUGGCCCACCAAGACUAUUACAGGUACGGGCUCUGAGAGGAGUGGCCCGGAGAUGGGUACUGAGACACGGACCCAGGCCCUAUGGGGCGCAGCAGGCGAGAAAACUUUGCAAUGUGCGAAAGCACGACAAGGUUAAUCCGAGUGGUUUCUGCUAAAGGAACCUUUUGUCGGUCCUAGAAACACCGAUGAAUAAGGGGUGGGCAAGUUCUGGUGUCAGCCGCCGCGGUAAAACCAGCACCUCAAGUUGUCAGGAUGAUUAUUGGGCCUAAAGCAUCCGUAGCCGGCUCUGUUAGUUUUCGGUUAAAUCUGUACGCUUAACGUACAGGCUGCCGGGAAUACUGCAGAGCUAGGGAGUGGGAGAGGUAGACGGUACUCGGUAGGAAGGGGUAAAA